UCCAUGUCAGGCUUUGUUCUCUAGCGGAUUGUCCUUCUUACUCUUCCUGGAACGAAGGCCUGCAUCGAGCCAUUUGCACUGAUGCUUCCAAAGAGGAGGGUCCCAAAGCUGUAAGAGAGAAAACUACUUGAGCAGAGGCCCCAGCUGGGCUGGUGGCCCCGAGGCUGACUGCGGUGUGUGCUCCUCCCUCAGGAGGCCAUUGCCUUGCUUGACAUCUCCUGGGCAAGUCUCCACAGAACCUCUUAUCAAACUCCAAAGUCAUCUUCUUCCACACGUUGUGCUAUUAGAGAUUAGAGGAGUUAAUGUAGGUGCAGCUUCCUCACAGAAAAUGCAAGACACACAAGGGCUGCUUUCAGCAUUCUGCUUGAUCGUGCACAGCUAGACGCAGAGCACUCAGGAGCACACAGGAGGGUAAUAAAAAUCACAUCCACCAUG
rnacentral:lncRNA from 1 species